AUAUCUUAGGCUUUCUUUUUUUUCGCAAUGUAAUGAGGUCUGCCAUUGUGCCACCAGAUGUAAGCCAUCUGAUGUUGGGUGUUUUUUUUUCCCACUUAGGUAAUGCUAAUACAUGUGGAAAGCGGGUUGAGGGUCACAUGAACUCAGGUUUAUCUCUGGGGACUCCAGAAGCUGCCUUUGUACCUCCAAGACCCGAUUAUAGCCGGCCUUUUGCUUGCGUUCCUUACCCUUAUGCUGAUCCAAGCUUCGUUGGCAUGCUGGCUGCCUCAAUCAGUAUUUUAAUAGAAUGGACAAAAGUUGGAUAAAUAAGUCGAAAUCCAGUGCCGAACCAAGAAAAAUUGCAGUCCCAGCUUACGAAUAUUUCAUCUUUGUUACAACGAUUUCUCCCUUCUCAGGUAACUAACUAUAUAUUUUUGAAUACUUUACAUAUUAUCAAUUAUGAUGUAUAAGUUAAUGUAUCCCAUUUUUACAAAUAUCUAAGGUUUCUUUUUUUUUUUUUUAGA